rnacentral:rRNA from 1 species
AACGAACGCUGGCGGCAUGCCUAACACAUGCAAGUCGAACGAGACCUUCGGGUCUAGUGGCGCACGGGUGCGUAACGCGUGGGAACCUGCCCUUAGGUUCGGAAUAACUCCCCGAAAGGGGUGCUAAUACCGGAUAAUGUCUUCGGACCAAAGAUUUAUCGCCUUUGGAUGGGCCCGCGUUGGAUUAGCUUGUUGGUAGGGUAAAAGCCUACCAAGGCGACGAUCCAUAGCUGGUCUGAGAGGAUGAUAAGCCACACUGGGACUGAGACACGGCCGAGAAUAGUACGGGAGGGAGCAGUGGGGAAUAUUGGAAAAUGGGCGAAAGCCUGAUCAAGCAAUGCCGCGUGAGUGAUGAAGGCCUUAGGGUUGUAAAGCUCUUUUAACCGGGAUGAUAAUGACAGUACCGGGAGAAUAAGCACCGGCUAACUCCGUG